CAGGGAUUGCCUCAGUAACGGCGAGUGAAGCGGCAACAGCUCAAAUUUGAAAUCUGACCCCCUGCGGGGCCCGAGUUGUAAUUUGCAGAGGGUGCUUCGGGCGCGGCGCCGGUCUAAGUGCCUUGGAACAGGACGUCAUAGAGGGUGAGAAUCCCGUCUGUGACCGGCGGCCAAGCCCAUGUGAAGCCCUUUCGACGAGUCGAGUUGUUUGGGAAUGCAGCUCAAAACGGGUGGUAAAAUUCAUCUAAAGCUAAAUACCGGCCAGAGACCGAUAGCGGACAAGUAGAGUGAUCGAAAGAUGAAAAGCACUUUGGAAAGAGAGUCAAACAGUACGUGAAAUUGUUGAAAGGGAAGCGCUUGCGAUCAGACCGGUCCGGGGGCGAUCAGCCGCUGCUCGUCAGCGGUGCACUCGCCCUCGAUCCGGCCAGCAUCGGUUUGGGCGGCGGGAGAAAAGUCCCGGGAACGUAGCUUCCCUCGGGGAGUCUUAUAGCCCGGGUCGUCAUGCCGCCCGCCCGGACCGAGGACCGCGCUUCGGCUAGGAUGCUGGCGUAAUGGUCGCAAGCGACCCGUCUUGAAACACGGACCAAGGAGUCUAACAUCUAUGCGAGUGUUUGGGUGUCAAACCCGGGCGCGGAAUGAAAGUGAACGGAGGUGGGAACCCGUCGCACGGCGCACCAUCGACCGAUCCAGAUGUCUUCGGAUGGAUUUGAGUACGAGCAUAGCUGUUGGGACCCGAAAGAUGGUGAACUAUGCCCGGAUAGGGUGAAGCCAGAGGAAACUCUGGUGGAGGCUCGCAGCGGUUCUGACGUGCAAAUCGAUCGUCAAAUCUAGGCAUAGG
rnacentral:rRNA from 1 species